rnacentral:rRNA from 1 species
CUGUCGUCAGCUCGUGUCGUGAGAUGUCGGUUAAGUCCGCUACGAGCGCAACCCUCGCUGUGUGUUAUAUGUGUCACACGGGACUGCCGGUCUUAAGCCGGAGGAAGGUGGGGAUGAUGUCAAGUCAGCAUGGCCUUUAUAUCCUGGGCUACACACACGCUACAAUGGCCAACACAAUAGGUUGCUAAGCCGCGAGGUGGCGCCAAUCCAUAAAGUUGGUCUCAGUUCAGAUUGUAGGCUGCAACCCGCCUGCAUGAAGAUGGAGUUGCUAGUAACCGCAGGUCAGCUAUACUGCGGUGAAUACGUUCCCGGGGCUU